ACUGAAACAUUGGUUCCCGUACGAUCACCGAAGUUAAGCAACGUCGAGCCAGGUCACAACCUAGAAGGGUGACCGCUUGGGAAUACCAGGUGCUGUAAG